GGAGCGAUGGUGUAGUUGGUUAUCACGUCUGUCUAACAUCUGAGAAUGUUCACAGACGGUCCUCAGUUCGAACCUGGGUCGCUUCA